rnacentral:rRNA from 1 species
UACGUAGGGGGCAAGCGUUGUCCGGAAUUAUUGGGCGUAAAGAGCGCGUAGGCGGUUCCGAUAAGUCGGCUGUGAAAGUCCAGGCUCAACCCUGGAAAGCCGGCCGAUACUGUCGGACUAGAGUUCGGAAGAGGCGAGUGGAAUUCCCGGUGUAGCGGUGAAAUGCGCAGAUAUCAGGAGGAACACCGGUGGCGAAGGCGGGUCUCUGGGCCGAUACUGACGCUGAGGAGCGAAAGCGUGGGGAGCGAACAGG